GGGAAGUUUCCAACUCCCCAUUUUUCUUUUUCCGAUAACCUCUUCAAUUCGCAUUGUUCUUGUAUUUGAAGGUGUGUGAUAUUCUUUGUGAUCUUUCACAAAGACUUGAUAAAGACAAGAAGAAGUGACUGGAGGAAUCUUACACCAUGUCCUUUUCAUCGAGUUCUCCCAUCUUCCCUACUAUUAGGAAUCGGUCUCCAGGAGAUCAGAUCAGAGAUGGGUGAAGAAGUAUUUUGAUUUGUCGUGAGAAAAAUUUGAAGGCCACUCGUCCUCUUCACUCCGUUGCUCUUACGUGGGAAAAAGUCUUUCUCUCACCCUUAAGUUUGUGGAGGAGAAGCUUCUCUUUCAACCCUAUUUCAAGAAUCAAGAGAGGAUGAUUUUUAUUUUGUCUGUCUCGUCUGCAUUUGUUAAACACUAGUAGAAAUUUCUUUAAUGUAAAAGUUUGAUCUGUCACGUACCUGGCGCUUGUGCCUUCUUUGAUUGUUGAAUAAGACUCCUGUUUUUAAGUUUAUCUACCCUUCUUUUAAUGAAAGAAUUUGACUCCGGAAAUUGUCCAUUUUCUUCUUGUUUUGGUUUGAACUGACCUACUUUAUGAUUCACAAAAUGUAGGGGUUACUUUCGGAGCCUCCCAGCGAAUCGUCAAACUCAUGUGCUGAAAUGAAUCCCUUUUCCAUCCUUUUGAAUUAAGGUCAUGGCGCCAAGAUUUUCCUCUUGUAGAUUUGGGCUUUCACAUUCUUCCCCUUUUGAAC
rnacentral:lncRNA from 1 species